CAUAAACAAGCUCUAAAUCAUGUUUGAUGCACUCUGGAUGUCCAAUUUUUGCUGUGCUGUCUAUUUGAGAUGAAAUGAACACUUUGGACAGUUUUCAGCAAGUUGCAACGUCGAAAUACAGAAAAAACGUUUUUUUCCAUAAACAAGCUCUAAAUCAUGUUUGAUGCACUCUGGAUGUCCAAUUUUUGCUGUGCUGUCUAUUUGAGAUGAAAUGAACAUUGUGGACAGUUUUCAGCAAGUUGCAACAUUGAAAUACAGAAAAAAAAUUCCAUAAACAAGCUCUAAAUCAUGUUUGAUGCACUCUGGAUGUCCAAUUUUUGCUGUGCUGUCUAUUUGAGAUGAAAUGAACACUUUGGACAGUUUUCAGCAAGUUGCAACGUCGAAAUACAGAAAAAACGUUUUUUUCCAUAAACAAGCUCUAAAUCAUGUUUGAUGCACUCUGGAUGUCCAAUUUUUGCUGUGCUGUCUAUUUGAGAUGAAAUUAACACUUUGGACAGUUUUCAGCAAGUUGCAACGUCGGAAUACAGAA